rnacentral:rRNA from 1 species
GACGAACGCUGGCGGCGUGCCUAAUACAUGCAAGUCGAGCGAUGAAGGAGAUACUUGUAUCUUUUGAAGAGCGGCGAACGGGUGAGUAACGCGUGGGGAAUCUGCCAAUGAGUGGGGGACAACAUUUGGAAACGAAUGCUAAUACCGCAUAAAAUCUAUUGAGACAUCUCAAGAGAUUGAAAGGAACAAUUAUUUCGCUCGUUGAUGAUCCCGCGUUGUAUUAGCUAGUUGGUGAGGUAAGGGCUCACCAAGGCGAUGAUACAUAGCCGACCUGAGAGGGUGAUCGGCCACAUUGGGACUGAGACACGGCCCAAACUCCUACGGGAGGCAGCAGUAGGGAAUCUUCGGCAAUGGACGGAAGUCUGACCGAGCAACGCCGCGUGAGUGAAGAAGGUUUUCGGAUCGUAAAGCUCUGUUGUUGUUAAAGAACGUUGAUGAGAGUGGAAAGUUCAUCAAGUGACGGUAAACAACCAGAAAGGGACGGCUAACUACGUGCCAGCCGCCGCCGUAA